rnacentral:rRNA from 1 species
GAUUAAGCCAUGCAUGUGUAAGUAUAACUAAUUGACUUUGAACUGCGAAUGGCUCAUUAUAUCAGUUAUAGUUUAUUUGGUGAAGUGUACUACUUGGAUAACCGUAGUAAUUCUAGGGCUAAUACAUGAGUAAAGUCCCGUUGGGAUGUGUUUAUUAGAAUGAAAACCAUAUGCUUCGGCAUGAUAGUGAGUAAUAGUAACCUAUCGUAUCGCAUGCUUAAUGUAGCGAUGAGUCUUUCAAGUUUCUGCCCUAUCAGCUUUCGAUGGUAGUAUAUGGGCCUACCAUG